AUCUAUAUAGUUUAAAUUAAAAACCUUAAUUUUGUAAAUUAAAAAUAAACUCAAUUUUUAUAGAUA
rnacentral:tRNA from 1 species